rnacentral:tRNA from 1 species
AGCCCCGUAGUCUAGAGGCCAAGGAUAGCAGGUUUUGGUCCUGCAGACCCAGGUUCGAAUCCUGGCGGGGCUA